AAGGAGUUUAACAUGUGCGCGAGUCAUUGGGUUUUACGAAACUCAAAGGCGCAGUGAAGAUAAAGGUUGGGCUUGUACAGACUAGGGUGAGAUCCUGUUGUUUUGGUCAUAAAUUCCAAGCUGCGAGCAGAAGACGCAUUACCGACAGGUCACACGACGUAGACAUGUGACCUUGUGCUAUGUGCACCGUCGAAGCGAAGCAAGAGCUUCCAUGUUGAAACGCGGAAAAUGUUGAACUAUGCUUACUAAGGUUGAAGCCAGAGGAAAUUCUAGUGGAGGACCGUAGCGAUCCUGACGUGAAAAUCAAUCUUAUAACGUGAGUAUAGGUGUAGAAGACUAAUCAAGCCAUUUAGUAGCUGGUUCCCUCCGAAGUUUCCCUCAGGAUAGCUGGCAUUCUAAGAUAUAUGCGGUCUUCUUCGGCAAAGCGAACUGGUCGAUAGCCAAUCAUGAAAGGUGCAGGAUUAUAUUCCUAAGGCCCAGAGACAUAAUAAUAGCUAAAUAAUAGAAUGAUACGGGUAAUUAGUUUCAUUUUUCGGACAGUGACAGUUUGUACUAAAAGUUUUAAGAACAGUUAUCUCAUGUAUUGGCAAAAGUGGACACUGACGAUUUUGAUUUCUCUCAAGUUUGGUAGAAACAAUUCAAUCGGAAAGUUGUAAACACCUU
rnacentral:ncRNA from 1 species